GAGGGCCUACGGGACGCAGCAGUAGGGAAUCUUCCACAAUGGACGAAAGUCUGAUGGAGCAACGCCGCGUGAGUGAAGAAGGGUUUCGGCUCGUAAAGCUCUGUUGGUAGUGAAGAAAGAUAGAGGUAGUAACUGGCCUUUAUUUUAAGGUAAUUUCUUAGAAAGUUACGGCUAAAUACGUGCCAUCAGCCGCGGUAAUACGGAGGUGGCAAGCGUUUUCCGGCUUUAUUGGGCGUAAAGCGCAUGCAUGCGCGUG
rnacentral:rRNA from 1 species